rnacentral:snRNA from 1 species
AUACUUACCUGGCGUAGGGGCUACCGUGAUCAUUAAGGCGGUUCCCCCAGGACGAGGCCUAUUCAUUGCACUACGAUUGGGCUGAAUCCUGCGAUUAUCCCUAAUGCGGAUAACUCGGGCGUAUAAUUUUUGGUAGUCGGGACUGCGUACGCGCUGUCCCGGU